AAACGACACAAACGACAUGACACCGGGACAAUCGUGGCACAUGAUUGCUUGAUAAAGCUGCUCUUUGCAUUAUCUGUCACGCUCUGUAAUGCGAACUGAAUCGUCCCGGUGUCAUAUCGUUUGUGUUGUUU
rnacentral:pre_miRNA from 1 species